GGAAGAUGCCGGCGACCUCUGUGGAGGGGUUGGGACCGCCAAUCGGCGACCUUGACCCCUCCAUCGGGGUCACCGGCGUCCUCC
rnacentral:pre_miRNA from 1 species